rnacentral:lncRNA from 10 species
CAUAAAUCAAUGAGUAAUUUCAAGUCUCAUUACUUAGGAAAAACAUUUUGGGCCGGGCAUGGUGUCUCAUGCCUGCAAUCCCAGUACUUUGGGAGGCCAGGGUGGGAGGGCUGCUUUAGGCCAGGAGUUCAAGACCAGCUUGGGCAACAUAGUGAGACCCCAUCUCUAAAAAAAAAAUUUUUUUUUUCUAAUUAUCCAGGCAUGGUGGCGCACACCUGUAGUCCCAACUAUUAGGGAGGCUGAGGUGGAUCACUUGAGCCCAGGAGGUCAAAACUGCAGUGAGCCAUGGUACACUGUACUCCAGCCUGGGCAGCAAAGCAAGACCCCGUCUCAAAAAUGAAACAAAACAUUUUAUACAGUAAUAGCUGCCACAGUCAGUUCUCUGAUGGAUCUGUUAAAAUCAAUUGACAACCUUUUAGAAAGGAUCUACCAUUCUAGAUGCCAUUAAGAGCAUUCAUCAUUCAUGGGAAGAGGUCAAAAUAGCAACACUAACAAGAGUUUGGAAUAAGUUGAUUCCAAUCUUCAUGCAUAACUUUGAGGAGUUCAAGACUCCAGGGGAGAAAGUAAUUGCAGAUGUGGUGGAAACAGCAAGAGAACUAGAAUUACAAGUGGAGUCUGAAGAUGUGACUGAAUUGUUGCAAUCUCAUGACAAAACCUGAACGGAUGAGGAGUGGCUUCUUAUGAGUGGGCAAAGAAAGUGGUCUCAUGAGAUGGAAUCUAUUCCUGGUAAAGAUGCUGGGAAUACUGUUUAAUUAUGACAAAGAAUUUGGACUAUUACAUAAACUUAGUUUGCAGCAGCAGGAUUUGAGAGGAUUGACUCUAAUUUUCAAAGAAGUUCUACUGUAGGUAAAAUGCUGUCAAAAAGCACUGCAUUCUACAGAGAAAUCUUUCAUGAAAGAAAGUGUCAACGGAUUUGGUAAACUUCAUUGUUGUCUUAUUUUAAGAAAUUGCCACAGCCACCCCAACUUCCCAACUUCCCAACUUCCAGCAACCACCACCCUGAUCUCAGCAGCCAUCAAUGUUGGGGCCAGGCCUUCCACCAAAAAAAUGAUUUGCUGAAGUCUCAGAUGAUCAUCAGCAUUUUUUAGCAAUGAAGUAUUUUUUAAUUAAGGCAUGUCCUUUUUUAAUAGACAUAAUGCUAAUUACACACUUAGUAGACCACAGUAUAGCAUGAACACGACUUUUAUAUGCACUGGGAAACAAAAAAAAAAUUGUUUGACUCAUUUUAUGGUGAUACUCACUUCAUUGCAGUGGCAUGAAACCAAACUUGCAAUAUCUCCAAGGUAUGACUAUAGUUAAAGAGGAUAGUUCCCUACCUCUCAUACACUCACAUUCACAAAAAAUCAAGAUGGCGUUUUAAUCAGAACUAUGCUUAUCCUCCCCCUCUGUGUAUUCAAAUCCUAUAUUUCUUUCAAGGUAUAGUUUAAGUUCCUAGAUUCUCCUUGAACCUGACCUCUGGUCAUUUCAGAUUAAGUAAUCUCUUCCUUUGCCUAAGCUCAAAGCACCCAUUGCCUAAAAUAGCAAUUGUUAUACUAAUAUGGGACAUCCUCUAUACUAUAUUUAAUAUAAUUUAUACAUCCUGUUUUUAUGUCUUUUUUUCUCAAGUUUCUGUAGGUACAGAAUCAAUGCUUCCAAUGAAGUCAGCAGAGUGCUUUGCUAAUAAUUGACAAAAAAAGGAUUAACUCAUUUUAAAAAUCCACUCUUCAUUCUUCUCACAAGGAUCAAACAGGAUCUUGUCUUUCGACUCUAUCCUCAAGGAAAUAGAGGACUUGCUAUAAUUUAUUAUAUUCGGAAACUCUGACUGAGCCACAUAUUGUGUCUACUGUGUUUUCCUCCUGCCUCUUAUUAAAAGUAUGGCCCUUUCAUGCAACUAGAAAGGUAAGAUCUCUAAUUCGGUCCUAACCAAUUAUGUUUCUUCACCGGGGCUUGAGGCCAAACCUACUGCUGAUGAUAGAAAGUGUAAUCCUGCCUUACUUAGUACCAUGUGCAGAUUUCAUCCUUGAAACAGAAUACUGGCUGAAGGACUGACCUAUGGUAGAACACAGGGAUUCUUGUGUUCUGGCCAAAAGAACCUCUUAAUAUCAUCUCCCUAAUAGCAUCCCUUCUCAUUAUUUAUUAGAUUAUUAUUUGCCUUCUUAUUGAAGGUAUAGGUGUUCUGAGAUAAUUAUUACGGUAUUCACAUUUGGGAAAGACUCAUCUUUAAACAGCUGUUAGCAUUUGACAGUAUGAUCACGGAUUUUCCUCUGUAUUUAAUCACUGUACCUUGCACAUAGCAGCCCCAAGUACUUCUGAUAUACUGUAAUUUAUAACAUCAUUACCUACAGCCCUGAAAGACAGGCAUUAUUAUCAUAACUUACAAAUACUUGGAAAUGUCAAUUAACUUGUUCAAGUCCCAAAGCUAGUUGGUGUAACCAGGAUUCAAAACACUAGGUCUUUUCUAAUUCCAAAGCCCAUGCUCUUUUCACUAUACCAGGCUGCCUCUCUAAUGCAAUAGAGAGUGGUACAAAAAGAACUGGAAAAGUCCUUUUCUUAUCUUCUGGUGAAGACUUUGAAAACAGCCAGGCCCCAAAGUCGGCUGAUCUUGAUUCAUCUGCCUAUACACGUGAUGAUAUUUAAGAGUUAAACCUAACAGACUAAUCGGAACGAUAUGCAUGUGCUUACCAAACAAUCCAUUUCAUCAAAGGAAACUGGAAAUGUCUGCCAUUUACUCCCAGCAACAGGGUAAUCACAAAUUUUUCCAAAGUGAAUGCACAAUGACUCAGAGAACAGUUUUUAAAAUUUAUACAGCUCGGCCAGGCGCGGUGGCUCACACCUGUAAUCCCAGCACUUUGGGAGGCCGAGGCAGGCGGACUACCUGAGAUCAAGAGUUUGAGACCAGCAUGGCCAACAUGGUGAAACCCGUCUCUAUUAAAAAUACAAAAAAAUUAGCCAGGCGUGGUGGCAUAUGCCUUUAGUCCCAGCUACUCAGGAGGCUGAGGCACAAGAAUCGCUUGAACCUAGGUGGCAGAGGUUGCAAUGAGCCGAGAUCGGGCCACUACACUCCAGUCUGGGAGACAGAGCAAGACUCCAUCUCAAUUAAAAAAAAAAAAAAAAAAUUAUACAGCUCAUGCCAGAACUUAGAAUCCAUCCAAAAAAAAUAACUUUUUCUCUAGUAUGACUGGACAAUUUCCAUCUCUUCUUGGAACAACCUUAUUUGGACCAAAAAUUGAAUACACAGUGUCCUUCCCUUUGGUUUUUCCUCAAAAAAAGGAUGAGCUGAACAAAAAUCUUCCCUAAUAUAUGGCUCACCUCACAAACAUCUCACCAAAAAAGACAAUGUAUGUGUGGGUAUUCAUUAGGAAAUAUUUCUUAUAAAGUUUCCCUAACCUUACUCUUUUAGGACACCUGUCACUGUACUGUAGAUAAUGUACUAACAUAACAAGCUUUUCAUAUGAUGUUAAA